rnacentral:rRNA from 1 species
CAAUAGCGUAUAUUAAAGUUGUUGCAGUUAAAAAGCUCGUAGUUGGAUUUCUGGUGGGAGCGAUCGGUCUGGCGCUUAGCGCGAGUACUUGCAUCGUCUCCGGCCAUCCUUGGGGAGAGUCUGUCUGGCAUUAGGUUGUCGGGCAGAGGAUCCUCAUCGUUUACUGUGAAACAAUUAGAGUGUUCAAAGCAGGCUUAUGCCGUUGAAUAUAUUAGCAUGGAAUAAUAAGAUAGGACUUUGGUACUAUUUUGUUGGUUUGCGCACCAAAGUAAUGAUUAAUAGGGACAGUUGGGGGUAUUCGUAUUCCGUUGUCAGAGGUGAAAUUCUUGGAUUUACGGAAGACGAACUACUGCGAAAGCAUUUACCAAGGAUGUUUUCAUUAA